rnacentral:rRNA from 1 species
CGGUGUGAAUUGCAGAAUCCCGUGAACCAUCGAGUCUUUGAACGCAAGUUGCGCCUGAAGCCAUUAGGCCGAAGGCACGUCUGCCUGGGCGUCA